AUUGAACGCUGGCGGCAGGCCUAACACAUGCAAGUCGAGCGGAGCGGCGGACGGGUGAGUAAUGCCUAGGAAUCUGCAUGGUAGUGGGGGAUAACGUCCGGAAACGGGCGCUAAUACCGCAUACUAUCAGAUGAGCCUAGGUAGGAUUAGCUAGGUGGUGGGGUAAAGGCCUACCAAGGCGAAGAUCCGUAACUGGUCUGAGAGGAUGAUCAGUCAAACUGGAUCUGAGUCACGGUCCAGACUCCGACGGGAGGCAGCCGUGGGGAAUAUUGGCCAAUUGGCGAAAGCCUGAUCCAGCCAUGCCGCGUGUGUGAAGAAGGUCUUCGGAUUGUAAAGCACUUUAAGUUGGAUGGCGUUACCAACAGAAUAAGCACCGGCUAACUCCGUGCCAGCAGCCGCGGUAAUUC
rnacentral:rRNA from 1 species